rnacentral:rRNA from 1 species
AGUCGCAUGCCGUAGACCCGAAGCCGAGUGAGCUAUCCAUGGGCAGUGUGAAGCGGAGGUAAGACUCUGUGGAGGCGCGAACCGACUUCAGUUGAAAAUGGAGCGGAUGACCUGUGGAUAGGGGUGAAAGGCCAAUCAAACUCGGUGAUAGCUGGUUCUCCGCGAAAUGCAUUUAGGUGCAGCGUCGUGCGUUCAACGAUGGGGGUAGAGCACUGAAUGGGCUAGGGGUCCUACAAGACUACCGACCCCAAUCAAACUCCGAAUACCAUCGUUCCAGAGCACGGCAGUGAGACCUCGGGGGAUGAGCUUCGAGGUCGAGAGGGAAACAGCCCAGACCGCCGGCUAAGGUCCCAAAAUCUGAACUAAGUGGUAAACGAUGUGAGAUUGCGAAGACAGCCAGGAGGUUGGCUUGGAAGCAGCCAUCCUUGAAAGAGUGCGUAACAGCUCACUGGUCGAGUGAUCUUGCGCGGACAAUGUAACAGGGCUCAAGUUCAGUACCGAAGCCGCGGAUGCGACUCUUUGAGUCGUGUGGUAGCGGAGCGUCGAGCGUGCAGCGAAGCGGCGGGACAACCCAGCCGUGGAGCGCGUUCGAGUGCGAAUGUUGGCAUGAGUAGCGAAUGAGGGGUGAGAACCCCCUCCGCCGUAUGUCCAAGGGUUCCUGGGCGAGGCCAAUCCUCCCAGGGUGAGUCGGGAGCUAAGGCGAGGCCGAGAGGCGUAGUCGAUGCACAACUGGUUGAUAUUCCAGUACCACCAUGUUCGCGUCCGUCCCAAUACUCUGUUGCUAAGGGGCUGUGUUGACUUCGGUCAACGCGAACCGACCCACAUUGUUGCGGGAAGCUGUAGGGGGACGCAGGAAGGUAGAUGAACCCGGUGAAUGGUAGAACCGGGGUAAGCGUGUAGGAGGAGGACCAGGUAAAUCCGGGCCUCAUAAACUCUGAGACGUGAUACCGAGCCGCUUCAGGCGAAGUCAUUGAUCCUAUGCUGCCUAGAAAAGCCCAGCAGCGAGUUGACAUGGUGCCCGUACCCCAAACCAACACAGGUGGACAGGUAGAGCAUACCAAGGCGAGUGGGAUAACUAUGGUUAAGGAACUCGGCAAAUUGCCUCCGUAACUUCGGGAGAAGGAGGACCCCAGUAGCGUGAUGAGACUUGCUCUCUGAGCGUGAAGGGGUGGCACAAAAUUGAGGGAAGCGACUGUUUACCAAAAACACAGCAGCGUGCUAAGCCGUAAGGCGCUGUAUACGCUGUGACUCCUGCCCGGUGCUGGAAGGUUACGGGGAUGGGUUAGUCCUUCGGGACGAAGCUCUGAACCUAAGCCCCAGUAAACGGCGGCCGUAACUAUAACGGUCCUAAGGUAGCGAAAUUCCUUGUCGGGUAAGUUCCGACCUGCACGAAUGGAGUAACGACUUCCCUACUGUCUCAACCAUAGACCCAGCGAAAUUGAAGUACGAGUAAAGAUGCUCGUUAGCUGCAGAAGGACGGAAAGACCCCGUGGACCUUUACUAUAACUUGAUGUUGUGUUUUGUCAUAUGUUGUGUAGGAUAGGUGGGAGACUUGGAAGCAUGGACGCUAGUCUGUGUGGAGUCG